rnacentral:rRNA from 1 species
UAAUACGGAGGGCGCAAGCGUUGUUCGGAUUUACUAGGCGUAAAGAGCGUGUAGGCGUCUUAGUAAGCCUUGUCUUAAAAUCUAUGGCUUAACCAUAGAAGGUGAUAGGGAACUACUAGGAUUGAGUUUAAGAGAGGAGAGUAGAAUUCCUGGUGUAGCGGUGAAAUGCGUAGAUAUCAGGAAGAAUACCUGUGGCGAAGGCGACUCUCUGGCUUAAAACUGACGCUGAGACGCGAAAGCGUGGGGAGCAAACAGGAUUAGAUACCCUGGUAGUCCACGCCGUAAACGAUGGAUAUUAGGUUUGGGAGGUAUCCAACCCUUCUGAGCCGAAGCUAACGCAUUAAAUAUCCCGCCUGGGGAGUAUGGUCGCAAGGCUG